AGGUCUUAACCCUACGACCAAAGAUUAAAAUUCUCCAGGGGAUACCAUAGUCACUCGGUAACGCUGUGUUUUCCUGAAGAGGUGUAAGA
rnacentral:snoRNA from 1 species